CCGCCCCGCUCCUUUCUUCCAGCCCAGCCCGGCUCCCGGUGCGCUCCGGCCUCCGCGCCUCCCAGCCCGGCUCCGAACCCGCAGCCCGGGGGCUGCAGCGCCGGUUCCGCUCCUGUGGCUGCCGCUGCUCCUGGUUCCCUGCGCGCAGCCCCGGCUCCGAGCCCCGGCCGCGCUGCCCCUCGGUCUGGUCCGUGCUCUGCUGCCUGCCGGGGGCCUGCCCGGUGUGUGUCCCCGUUCUGGGGAUUGUCUGUCCUCUGCUCCUCCGUGCCCAGCCUCCGGGGCACCCCCAUCUGUGCACCCCCCCGUGCCCCCUCUUUUGUGCCCACUUCCCUGGGACACUCCCCAUCACGGCACCCCUCUUGUGUGCCCAGCUCGUGGGGCACUCCCCAUCUCUGCCCCCCCUCGUACCUCCCUCUUCUGCGUCCAGCCCCUGGGACACUCCCCCAGUGCCCCCCUCCUCUGCGCCCAGCCCCUGGGACACUCCCCAUCUCUGCCCCCCCUCGUACCUCCCUCUUCUGCAUCCAGGCCCUGGGACACUCCCCCAGUGCCCCCCUCUUCUGUGCCCAGCCCCUGGGACACUCCCCAUCUCUGCCCCCCCUCGUACCUCCCUCUUCUGCGUCCAGCCCCUGGGACACUCCCCCAGUGCCCCCCUCCUCUGCGCCCAGCCCCUGGGACACUCCCCAUCUCUGCCCCCUCUCGUACCUCCCUCUUCUGCAUCCAGGCCCUGGGACACUCCCCCAGUGCCCCCCUCCUCUGCGCCCAGCCCCUGGGACACUCCCCAUCUCUGCCCCCCCUCGUAUCUCCCUCCUCUGUGUCCAGCCCCUGGGACACUCCCCCAGUGCCCCCCUCCUCUGUGCCCAGCUCGUGGGGCACUCCCCAUCUCUGCCCCCCCUCGUAUCUCCCUCUUUUGCGUCCAGUCCCUGGGACACUCCCCCAGUGCCCCCCUCUUCUGUGCCCAGCCCCUGGGACACUCCCCAUCUCUGCCCCCCUCCUCUGCGCCCAGCCCCCGGGACACUCCCCAUCUGUGCCCGGCCGCUGCAGAGAUUCCCAGAUCGUGCCCAUGGGCAUUGCCAGGUUGGCAGAUGUGAUUAAGGAGGAGGCUGCGGAGGCCGUGAGCUCAUUCCCUCUGCGACAGUAUCGAGACCGCGUCAUAGCCCUGGACGCAUCCAUUGUCAUUUACCAGUUCCGCACGGCCAUGCCAAAGCUCUUCAACCGCAACGGGGAGAACAUCAGUCACUUGCAGGGGCUGUUUUACCGGACGCUGCAUCUCCUGGAAAAUGGCAUCAAACCGGUGUUUGUGUUUGACGGGCAGCCCCCUGACCUCAAACAGCCACUGCUGGCCAGGCGGGCGGAGGCUGCCGGGGCUAGGAGAGAUGCUGCAGAGUCCCGCCGGGCUGAAAACCUGCCGCGGCCCCUGAAGCAGGAUUGCGAGACCCUGCUGAGCUACCUGGGUGUGCCAUAUGUGCAGGCUCCGGCUGAGGCAGAAGCCACCUGCGCAGCUCUGGUGAAGUCUGGCAAGGUUUGGUGCACAGCCACGGAGGACAUGGACGCGCUGCCUUUCGGGAGCCUCCGCCUGAUCCGCCACCUGAACUCCAAGAACAACUGUGAAGUAGAAGAGUUUUCCCUGCCUGACAUCCUGCAGAAGCUGGCCAUGACUCAGGAGCAGUUCGUGGACCUGUGCAUCCUGCUGGGGUGUGAUUACUGUGGGAAGAUCUGGCAGCUGGGCCCCAAAAAGGCCCUCAAGCUGCUGCAGCAACAUGGGACCAUCGAGCAGGUUCUCCAGAACAUCGACCCCCAGAAGCACCCGCUGCCCGCCAACUGGGACCUGGAGGGAGCUCGCAGGCUCUUCCUGCAGCCGGAGGUGGCUGACCCGGGCCAGAUAACGCUGGAGUGGCGCGACCCCGACCCAGAGGGGCUGGUGCGGUUCCUCGCCCACGAGAAGCACAUGAAUGAGGCGCGGGUGUGCCGGCGGCUGCAGCGGUGGCAGGAGGCCCAGCCCAAGCCCGAGGAGGCCCAGCCCAAGCAGCAAGCGCCCCGAGAGGGCAGGAGGCAGCAGAAGCUGGGCGAGUUCUUCCCAGCCAGCAAACACGCCCGUCCGCCGGAGGUGCCCGGCCCCCGGCCCAGCAGGAAGAGACAGAAACCGCAGGCGGGGAUGCCCGGGGAAGCAGGCAGCCCGGAGCCGGGGAAGUGAGACGCUGGCCUUGCUCCUGCUUCUGCCACAGUGCCCAUACACUGCCGUCUGCUCUCCCCCAGGCCUUCUGCCAGCCAUGCCCAGUGGGCAGCCGGGGCAACGUGCCAGGAGCCCAGGGGCAGCACCUGAUGGGCGCGGACAGAACCAGAUCGCAGCUGCUCUCCACUUUAAUGCCCAGGUGCAGGCCAGGCUCCAGCACGCAAUAUGGCCCAGACGAGGCACUGCAUGCUGGGAGCUGUAAUCUCUGCUGGCUGCCCACUGGCACUGUCCUUAGGAAAUUGUGUGUCUGUGUGAGAGAGAGAGAGACUGGAUGGAUGGAUGGAUGAGGGGAAGGAACAGCCGACUGGACAGGUUGGUUCAGUAGCCCCAUCCGGAGAGCUCCAACAGAUCCUGCUGGUUGGGAGUGAGGGGCACCGGCAGAGCUGGCGGGGAGCCCAGGGCUGGAACAGCAGGCUGCAGGUUGGUAGUGAGGGGCACUGGCAGAGCCGGGGGGGAGCCCAGGGCUGGAAGAGGGGGCUGUGGGUUGGGAGUGAGAGGUGCCGACAGAACUAGAACGGGGAAGUAACAGUUCCUACCCGCUUUGUGCCUGUAGCAAGUUGAGGCCAAGUUGGCCGCCUUUCAGAACUCUCAGGUAUCUGUUGCCAGGCCCAUCACUGUGGUAUUGGGGCAGCAGGGCACAGAGCCACUAAACGACUCGCCCACGGUCACACAGGAGGCUGCGGCAGAGGCAAGAUUAGAACCCAGCUCUCCUGAGCCUCCAGUGCUUGGAUCACAGGCUUGUCCUUCCUGCUGGCCUGGCCCCAGCCCCUGUUGGAGGGAGUCCAGCCGGAGCGCCGUCCCUCAGCUGCCUGGUGCGCCGAGGGGGAGGCGGCUUGUUUUGGGUACCCAAGGGAACAAUGGGGAUGGGGUGAAGGAAGGGAAGAAUGAGGGUGAAAUAGCGGGAGUGACUCCACGGCUGGGAGAUGGAUCCAACUGUGGGACCCGCCAGGGACAUUUCCAAGCAGGUCGGACUGAGGAACAUGGGGGUGGGGGGUGGCACAUGCCACUUUGCCCCCAGCACGUGGACCAGACAGGCCUGCUAGCGAUAGAGGGAGGCCACGCCAGCGGCACGACCUGCCCCGGAGCAGCCCCUUCUCUGCGCUGCACGGCUCGGCUGAGCGCCCCCGGCACCACCCUGCGCUGCGCAUCAGCUGACGAUGGUCCCGGUUCUUGGGGUGGCCUCUGCUCCUCGGUGUAGCCUGGACUGUCCUCGGGGAGGAGCUGGUGAGCAAAGGGCCAAGUGAAGCCCAGAUGUGGGGCGGAGACCCCAGGCCCCAGAAGGGGGCAGCAGAGAUGGGAGGGGCCCAGCACAGGGAAGAUGAUUGAGGGUUUAUUCAAGUACGUCCAGGGGUGAGAAAUCUCGGUAGCUGAGACUGGGUUUGAACUCCCCCCCGCGACCUGUUUUCGUUAGCUUUGCUGUGCCCUGACCUGCGUCAGUGCCGGGAGCCCCUGCCCUGGUGCCAGGCCCUGCUGGGCGUGAGCCUCACCAGUCCCUGACCAGUGCCAGCGGCUUGUGUGCCACAAAGAGCGGGGGAGAUGGUCCGGCUCGGGCUGGCACUCCGUCUCCCCAGUCAGGUGGUAUCUGAUGGGGCUGGGAACUCGCGCCCGGCUGCUGCACAGAGGUGCCCGCUGCGGUUCUCCUGCUAUCUCCGCCCUGCCCAGCCCAGCGGGGCACCAGGCACCGUCUCCUGCUCUGUUCUGGGAGCUCAGCAAUAAAGUCGGAGGUGAUACAA